ACAUAAGAGACAGCGUUCUUUCUUUUGUAUCUAAGAACUCCAGGUUGGCAGGAAUCAUACCUAUUUUGUUUACUAUGCUAUGCCACAUAUCUAGAGCAGUACCUAGCACAAAGUAGCCCCUAAACUAAAAUUUAUUGCAUGUACAUUCAUUCAUUGAAGGAUUUGAAAUAUUUUUUAAACCAAGAGAAUUAUAUAUUUUAUAUACAAUUUAUAUAAAUUUUUUUUUUACUUUGCCCAGUAAGUUUUAUCUCAACCACCUCUCCCCAUUCCUGGGCAGUGUGUUUCUAGAAUGGUUAAAGGACUUAGUAAACACGGCAUUUUGCUAGAAGUGCUCUGAGUUCAGAAGUCAGCCUUACUUAUAUUUCACAUUCCUAUGUAUAAUAUUUGGCAAUUUACACAACUUACUUUGGCCUCAGCUUUCAAUAAACAAAAGGUACCCAAUAGGCACUCAAUCAACUGUAAUUACUAGUAUUAUUAUUUGGUGAUGUUUUGAAUGGGUAGGUGGGGAGGCAAGUCACAGAGCAGCCUGUGUUUCCCCUUCACUAUGUUUAGCCCUCAAAGGAUGAGGUUUAGGAGCAACGUUUUAGACUCCUUCAUCCCUGCUCUCCAUUAUUUGGAGGCAACACUAUUAUAAUUGUUUUUAUUCUUGUCUAUGACUACAACUCUUUUGAUCUAGUUUAUUGGUUUCCUUUUUCCCUGACACUCUUAAAUGUCAAUAAAAGGUUAUUCAUUAUUCAACUAAAAUUCUUUCUUGUAGGAUUUAAAGAGUAUAUAGUUACUAUUUACAUUGUCCUUACCAUAUACCAGCCAUUUUUCUAAAGAUGGUUUGAUUUGAUCCUCAGAACAAUCCUGGGAGGUGAGUAUUAUUCGCACCACCACCACCACCUCUGAUUUACAAAUGAAGAUAAUAAGGCAGAGAAAGACCCAUUGUUACAAAGCUAGCAAACAGGAAUGUCAGGAUUCAAACUGCUCUGAUACAAAAUUCUAUGUUCUGAGCCACUAUAAUAAAAGUUACCUCCAAGAACAUACAAAUAGAGGAAAAGGAUCAGUGUCUGAGGAUUAAACCUCAGAAAUGGAGAUUAAUGGAUCAGAAAGAGAAACAAAAAAAUCACCUGAAAAAGAAGGAAGGAAGGGAGGGAAGGAAGGAAAGAAGAGGGGGAUGGAGGGAGAAAACAAAUGACUUCUACAGCAUGGAACUUGACGAUAAAUUAUUUUUUAAACCUAACAGAAUGAAAGUCAUUAGCUAUUGAAACCUUUUUUUAAAGUUAUCACAGAAGUAAAUACUAGCAACCACAAAUUUUCACUUCAACUGGGCAGUCCUCAUAUGAUAUGAUAGAUCUUGUUGUUGUUGUUUGUUUUGUUUUUUUGUUGUUUUUUUUUUUUUGCUUUUCAGGGCCACACCCGAGGCAUAUGGAGGUUGCCAGGCUAGGGGUCGAAUCAGAGCUACAGCUGCUGGCCUACACCACAGCCACAGCAACUUUAGAUCCAAGCUGCAUCUGUGACCUACACCACAGUGCACAGCAAUGAUGGAUCCUUAACUCACUGAGCGAGGCCAGGGAUCAAACCCGUGUCCUCAUGGUUCCUAGUCAAAUUCAUUUCCGCUGCGCCACGAGGGGAACUCCCAGGAGUCAGUUUAAUGUAGUGGCUAAGACCUUGGCCUUUAGAGCUUAACUACCUAGAAAUGGGAUACUGCCUUUACCAUAUAUUGACCACAGGACCAACUACCUUACCUAUCUAACCUUAACUUUCCUCCAUAAGCAUGAUACUAAUAAUGGCAUCUACCACAUAAGAAUACUGUAAGAAUUAUUAAAAAUAAUUAUAUGCAACUAUAUAUAUAGACAUGUAUGUUACAUUCUAUAAUAUAUGGAAAGCAUUUAGGAUGGUUUUUGGGAAGCACAGAGUAAACCUCAUAAUCUUACUCCCUCCUGCCUCUAAGAACUUCAAAUUCUAUCUUAAAAUCAUAGGGGACCAAUAAAGGCUCUUAAGCAAAGGAACAACUUGAUCAGGUUUUUGUUUUACAAAAACUACUCAAGUGAUGGAGUUCCUGUCAUGACGCAGUGGUUAACAAAUCUGACUAGGAACCAUGAGGUUGCAGGUUCGAUCCCUGGCCUUGCUCAAUGGAUUAAGGAUCCAGCAUUGCUGUGAGCUGUGGUGUAGGUCGCAGACGCAGCUCGGAUCUAGCGUUGCUGUGGCUCUGGCAUGGGCCGGUGGCUGCGGCUCCGAUUAGCCCCCUAGCCUGAGAUCCUCUAUAUGCCGUGGGAGCGGACCUAGAAAAGGCAAAAAAAAAAAAAAGCCCCCCAAAAAAAAAAAAAAAACUACUCAAGUGAGAAUAAUUGACAUAUAGGGGAUUAUCAGACAAUUGACAUAUAGGGGAUUAUCAGACAAAAUUAAUGAAACAUCUUAAGAGAAUAUUUUAAAGAAAAUAGGUUUUUGUUUUUUAAAUAUUGAUUUGUAACAGUAUCAUCAGUGCCUUCAGAAGGAUACAAUGACUUAGAAAGUUUAUCAGAAUGUAUAGUAAUAUUUAAAUGGGCGAUGAAAAUAUGGAAUCAAUUAUAGGCAAGCUUUUACCUACAACUCAUUAGAAGACCAUCUCAUAAUGAAAUUUUUAAUGUUCAGGUCCAAGGAGAGAUUUCUUAAGAGAAUGUUUUAUAAACUUAGCAUAGAUUUUGGUUAAUUAUCAAAAUAUGCUAUCAUGUACAUUUAAAUAUAUAUAUAUACAUAAUCUCCACGGGGGGGGGGAAAUGUUGGAUUUGAAUAAUUGCCAAGCAGUUAUGAAGAGUGCCUUUUCUCAAGAAGGUCAUCUUGCAUUACAAUGAACAUAAUCAAAAAAAAAAGAAAAUAGUUAUUUUUUUUUUCAUUGAAGUAUAGUUGGAAUACUUUAUACUAGUUUUAGGUGUAUAACAUAGUGGUUCAAUGUUAAUAUAAUUAUGAAACGAUCACCAUGAUGUCUAGUGACCAAAGUUAUUAUGAUACUGUUGACUAUAUUACCUAUGUUGCACAUUAAAUCUCCAUGACUUAUGUUAUGACUGGAAGUUUGU
rnacentral:lncRNA from 1 species